AGGGCGGCGUGCUAAUACAUGCAAGUCGAGCGGACAGAUGGGAGCUUGCUCCCUGAUGUUAGCGGCGGACGGGUGAGUAACACGUGGGUAACCUGCCUGUAAGACUGGGAUAACUCCGGGAAACCGGGGCUAAUACCGGAUGGUUGUUUGAACCGCAUGGUUCAGACAUAAAAGGUGGCUUCGGCUACCACUUACAGAUGGACCCGCGGCGCAUUAGCUAGUUGGUGAGGUAACGGCUCACCAAGGCAACGAUGCGUAGCCGACCUGAGAGGGUGAUCGGCCACACUGGGACUGAGACACGGCCCAGACUCCUACGGGAGGCAGCAGUAGGGAAUCUUCCGCAAUGGACGAAAGUCUGACGGAGCAACGCCGCGUGAGUGAUGAAGGUUUUCGGAUCGUAAAGCUCUGUUGUUAGGGAAGAACAAGUGCCGUUCAAAUAGGGCGGCACCUUGACGGUACCUAACCAGAAAGCCACGGCUAACUACGUGCCAGCAGCCGCGGUAAUACGUAGGUGGCAAGCGUUGUCCGGAAUUAUUGGGCGUAAAGGGCUCGCAGGCGGUUUCUUAAGUCUGAUGUGAAAGCCCCCGGCUCAACCGGGGAGGGUCAUUGGAAACUGGGGAACUUGAGUGCAGAAGAGGAGAGUGGAAUUCCACGUGUAGCGGUGAAAUGCGUAGAGAUGUGGAGGAACACCAGUGGCGAAGGCGACUCUCUGGUCUGUAACUGACGCUGAGGAGCGAAAGCGUGGGGAGCGAACAGGAUUAGAUACCCUGGUAGUCCACGCCGUAAACGAUGAGUGCUAAGUGUUAGGGGGUUUCCGCCCCUUAGUGCUGCAGCUAACGCAUUAAGCACUCCGCCUGGGGAGUACGGUCGCAAGACUGAAACUCAAAGGAAUUGACGGGGGCCCGCACAAGCGGUGGAGCAUGUGGUUUAAUUCGAAGCAACGCGAAGAACCUUACCAGGUCUUGACAUCCUCUGACAAUCCUAGAGAUAGGACGUCCCCUUCGGGGGCAGAGUGACAGGUGGUGCAUGGUUGUCGUCAGCUCGUGUCGUGAGAUGUUGGGUUAAGUCCCGCAACGAGCGCAACCCUUGAUCUUAGUUGCCAGCAUUCAGUUGGGCACUCUAAGGUGACUGCCGGUGACAAACCGGAGGAAGGUGGGGAUGACGUCAAAUCAUCAUGCCCCUUAUGACCUGGGCUACACACGUGCUACAAUGGACAGAACAAAGGGCAGCGAAACCGCGAGGUUAAGCCAAUCCCACAAAUCUGUUCUCAGUUCGGAUCGCAGUCUGCAACUCGACUGCGUG
rnacentral:rRNA from 1 species